AGCGAACGCUGGCGGCAGGCCUAACACAUGCAAGUCGAGCGGCCGUAGCAAUACGGCAGCGGCAGACGGGAGAGUAACACGUGGGAACGCGCCCUUCGGUUCGGGAUAACUCAGGGAAACUUGGGCUAAUACCGGAUACGCCCUUACGGGGAAAGAUUUAUUGCCGAAGGAACGGCCCGCGUCCGAUUAGCUUGUUGGUGAGGUAACGGCUUACCAAGGCGACGAUCGGUAGCUGGUCUGAGAGGAUGACCAGCCUCACCGGGACUGAGACACGGACCAGACUCCUACGGGAGGCAGCAGUGGGGAAUAUUGGACAAUGGGCGCAAGCCUGAUCCAGCCAUGCCGCGUGGGUGAUGAAGGCCCUAGGGUUGUAAAGCCCUUUCAGCGGGGAAGAUAAUGACGGUACCCGCAGAAGAAGCCCCGGCUAACUUCGUGCCAGCCGCCGCAGUAAAAC
rnacentral:rRNA from 1 species